CACCGACACACGGACAGCAUCUUGGGGGGCUCUGCAGCGCUUCAUGGGGCCAGCAAAUGGCACGGGAGGCUCCUUUCUGUGGGCAUUGCAGGCCAUGGGGCCGUGGGCAUGUAGGAAAACAGUAGCAGAAAACAAAAGGUCCUCCUCACCUGCAGUGGUUGUGCAGGUGUUUCAUUGCCUUCUUCACGCUCUUUGCUGCCUCAGGAGAUCAGACUCUGGUGCUCAGGCACCUUAGGGAUCCUGUUCAGCACAGGCUUCUGCUGUUAACCCAGUUAUCCCACACGGGGCCCCCAAGGCUGGGGAACAUUGUGAGGGGUGUGUGGUCAUUGUCACUCAACACACACAGCAAAC